UACGUAGGGUGCUAGCGUUGUCCGGAAUCAUUGGGCGUAAAGAGCGUGUAGGCGGCUCGGUAAGUCCGCUGUAAAAGUCAAAGGCUCAACCUUUGAAUGUCAGUGGAUACUGCCGGGCUAGAGUCCGGAAGAGGCGAGUGGAACUCCUGGUGUAGCGGUGGAAUGCGCAGAUAUCAGGAAGAACACCAACGGCGAAGGCAGCUCGCUGGGACGGUACUGACGCUGAGACGCGAAAGCGUGGGGAGCGAACAGG
rnacentral:rRNA from 1 species